rnacentral:rRNA from 1 species
AUGGCGCUCGUCCCACACGGUGGAAGCGCGGGCGGAUCGGCGACGAUGGCGAUGCCGAUGCUGACCGCGGACAACUACACGGUCUGGGCCAUCAAAGCGCAGGCGAUCCUCGACGUCCACACCGUAUGGGAGGCGGUGGUGCCGGGCGACGCGGCGGUGAACGCCAAGAAGGACAAGAUGGCGCGCGCGUUGCUCCUCGGGGCGUUGCCAGAGGAUGUGCUGCUGCAGGUGUCGACGAAGCUCACCGCCAGGGAGGUAUGGGACUCCCUGAAGGUGAGGUUCGUCGGCGCCGAUCGGGUCCGCGCGGCGAGGCUGGGACGUUGCGCGGCGAAUUCGACCGGAUGA